rnacentral:rRNA from 1 species
UACGUAGGGUCCGAGCGUUGUCCGGAAUUAUUGGGCGUAAAGGGCUCGUAGGCGGUUUGUUGCGUCGGGAGUGAAAACUUACAGCUUAACCCUGAGCCUGCUUCCGAUACGGGCAGACUAGAGGUAUGCAGGGGAGAACGGAAUUCCUGGUGUAGCGGUGAAAUGCGCAGAUAUCAGGAGGAACACCGGUGGCGAAGGCGGGUCUCUGGGCAGUAACUGACGCUGAGGAGCGAAAGCGUGGGGAGCGAACAGG